rnacentral:tRNA from 1 species
GAAUUAUAUUAUAAAAUUGCAAGUUUUAAUUUUUAUUAAUUUU